CUAUUAUGAGGUAUGGCCUUGUUGAAGGAAGUGUAUCACUAUGGGGAUGGGCUUUGGAGGUCUUCUGAUAUGCUCACAAUCCAGCCAUUGUAGAAGAGAUCUUCCUUCUAACUCCAUGAGGAUGCCAGUCUCUCCUGGUUGCUUUCAGAUCAAGAUGCAGAAUUCUCAGCUCCUUCUUCAGCACCGUGUUUGCCUGCAUACAACCAUGCUUCCAUCGAUGAUAAUGGGCUAAACCUCUGAAACUCACGGGAUAUGAACCUCUGUCACAAGCUCUCAUUGCCAAGAUCUCCAUCAUACUCCCUGCAAUAACCUGAAGUGUUUGGAGGUUGUCUCUUGGAGGCCUGCUCUUGUCUGAAAGCAAGUGAGGAAGCUUUCAGGGAUUCCACUCUAGCUUUUAUGGCCAGAACCUUUACCUGCUGAGCGCCUUUCCAGCCCAUGACAAAACAUAUUUCCAGAUAAGUUGACUCCUUGGAACUCUCUCGAUAUCAGAUCAUGUCUUCAGUGGAUAGAGCUAAUCACAAUUUUUGGCUUGGAAUGUUAUCCAAUCACUUGGGAGGCUGAUGCAUGAUGAACCUAAGGCAAGUCUGAGCAAGAGAGUGAGAUACUGUGUAAAAAAAAUCC
ensembl:lncRNA